AUGGGCGGUAGACUCACUCUACUUGACUCGGUGCUUACUCAGCUAUCCAUCUUUCACAUGUCUAUGUGGCUCAUGAAUAAAACUUUCAUUGAAAAGCUGGAUAAGCAUAGACGUAGAUUUUUCUGGCAAGGGUGUAAUAAAAAGCGUAGAUAUCAUCUUGUCAGGUGGAAUAGGAUCUGUAGAUCCAGAGACAAAGGGGGGCUGGGGGUUAAAGACCUCAGAAAGCAAAAUAUUAGUCUAAUGGUCAAAUGGUGGUGGAAGCUGGAGACCCAAAACGGGUUGUGGCAGGAUAUUGUGCGUGCUAGAUAUCUUAGAAACAAAACUGUUACUGAGGUGGGUGCGAGGUUUUCUGAUUCACCAUGCUGGAAAGCUCUUCUGAAGGUAAAGGAAGUUUACCUGGUGGGGAGGAAGAUUAACAUCGAAUCUGGUAAUAUUGCCUGGGUGUGGAUGGAUCCUAUCAAAGGGCUGCCCCCCUUUAGGGAGCAAUUCCCACAACUCUUCUCUAUUUGCACUGCUCCUGAAUGCACGGUGAGUAGGGUGCGGCUAGUGGAUACUAACACUUUCUUCAGACGGGGGCUUAGUGCCGAACUGUCUAAGCAA
rnacentral:rRNA from 1 species